rnacentral:rRNA from 1 species
GACAGAGGGUGCAAACGUUGCUCGGAAUCACUGGGCGUAAAGGGCGUGUAGGCGGGAAGGAAAGUCGGGCGUGAAAUCCCUGGGCUCAACCCAGGAACUGCACUCGAAACUUCUUUUCUUGAGUGCCGGAGAGGAAAGCGGAAUUCCUGGUGUAGAGGUGAAAUUCGUAGAUAUCAGGAGGAACACCAGUGGCGAAGGCGGCUUUCUGGACGGUAACUGACGCUGGAGAACGCGAAAGCGUGGGGAGCAAACAGG